rfam:Candidate division WOR-1 bacterium RIFOXYB2_FTLL_37_13 rifoxyb2_full_scaffold_135, whole genome shotgun sequence.
GCGGGAGUAGCUCAGUUGGUAGAGUAUCAGCUUCCCAAGCUGAAUGUCGCGGGUUCGAACCCCGUCUCCCGCU